GCCAGAGUGGCAUAGUGGUUUCAUUGUUGGACUAGGACUCUGAAAGACCAGGGUUCAAAUCUCCACUCAGCCA